rnacentral:tRNA from 4 species
GGGCUGGUGGUUUAGUGGUAUAAUGCCGCGUUCGCAACGCGGAUGUUGAGGGUUCGAUUCCCUCCCAGUCCA